rfam:Salmo salar isolate Sally breed double haploid chromosome ssa11, whole genome shotgun sequence.
UGGCUCAGUUGGUAGAGCAUGGUGUUUGCAACGCCUGGGUUGUGGGUCCGAUUCCCAU